rnacentral:rRNA from 1 species
AGAUUAAGUUAUUAAGGGCGCACGGUGGAUGCCUUGGCACUAGAAGCCGAUGAAGGACGUUACUAACGACGAUAUGCUUUGGGGAGCUGUAAGUAAGCUUUGAUCCAGAGAUUUCCGAAUGGGGAAACCCAGCAUGAGUUAUGUCAUGUUAUCGAUAUGUGAAUACAUAGCAUAUCAGAAGGCACACCCGGAGAACUGAAACAUCUUAGUACCCGGAGGAAGAGAAAGAAAAUUCGAUUCCCUUAGUAGCGGCGAGCGAAAUGGGAAGAGCCCAAACCAACAAGCUUGCUUGUUGGGGUUGUAGGACACUCUAUACGGAGUUACAAAGGACGACAUUAGACGAAUCAUCUGGAAAGAUGAAUCAAAGAAGGUAAUAAUCCUGUAGUCGAAAAUGUUGUCUCUCUUGAGUGGAUCCUGAGUACGACGGAGCACGUGAAAUUCCGUCGGAAUCUGGGAGGACCAUCUCCUAAGGCUAAAUACUCUCUAGUGACCGAUAGUGAACCAGUACCGUGAGGGAAAGGUGAAAAGCACCCCGGAAGGGGAG